GAUGAACGCUGGCGGCGUGCCUAAUACAUGCAAGUCGAGCGAACAGAUGAGGAGCUUGCUCCUCUGACGUUAGCGGCGGACGGGUGAGUAACACGUGGAUAACCUACCUAUAAGACUGGGAUAACUUCGGGAAACCGGAGCUAAUACCGGAUAAUAUAUUGAACCGCAUGGUUCAAUAGUGGAAGACGGUUUUGCUGUCACUUAUAGAUGGAUCCGCGCGGCAUUAGCUAGUUGGUAAGGUAACGGCUUACCAAGGCAACGAUGCGUAGCCGACCUGAGAGGGUGAUCGGCCACACUGGAACUGAGACACGGUCCAGACUCCUACGGGAGGCAGCGGUAGGAAAUCUGCCGCAAUGGGCGAAGGCCUGACGGAGCAACGCCGCGUGAGUGAUGAAGGUCUUCGGAUCGUAAAACUCUGUUAUUAGGGAAGAACAAAUGUGUAAGUAACUAUGCACGUCUUGACGGUACCUAAUCAGAAGGCCACGGCUAACUACGU
rnacentral:rRNA from 1 species